rnacentral:rRNA from 1 species
GACGUAGGGCGCGAGCGUUUGUCCGGAUUUAUUGGGCGUAAAGAGCUCGUAGGCGGCUUGUCGCGUCGUUCGUGAAAACUCACAGCUCAACUGUGAGCUUGCGGUCGAUACGGGCAGGCUAGAGUUCGGUAGGGGAGACUGGAAUUCCUGGUGUAGCGGUGAAAUGCGCAGAUAUCAGGAGGAACACCGGUGGCGAAGGCGGGUCUCUGGGCCGAUACUGACGCUGAGGAGCGAAAGCGUGGGUAGCAAACAGG